UACGUAGGGUGCGAGCGUUGCCCGGAUUUAUUGGGCGUAAAGGGCGCGUAGGCGGCUUUGUAAGUUAGAGGUGAAAGCCCGGGGCUCAACCCCGGAACUGCCUUUAAGACUGCAUCGCUUGAAUCCGGGAGAGGUGAGUGGAAUUCCGAGUGUAGAGGUGAAAUUCGUAGAUAUUCGGAAGAACACCAGUGGCGAAGGCGGCUCACUGGACCGGUAUUGACGCUGAGGUGCGAAAGCGUGGGGAGCAAACAGG
rnacentral:rRNA from 1 species